CUUUAACAAGGUUAUCUAAAUUCCUGAAAAUUUACAAUUGGAUCUUAAGAGCCAGUACAGGCUAAGUCCAGCACACCAGUACUCACAUGUGUACUUUUGUGACCAUUUACUGCUUCUUAUCUUAAAUUGUCACCAACCCCAAAACAAAUCGGCAGAGAAAUCAAAAGUAAUUUACCUGUGAAUAGUACUCUUAGCUUAAUUUGUAAGUUUUAAGUGGUUGAUUUAAAGUUGAAGACUUCUCUCUAUGUAUACUCUAUGUUCUUCCCCUUAACUUCGGUCACUUGUGUUGAAUAUUAACCUUUUAAAAUUACUGUUAGUAUAUAUGACACCCUUGAUGGUUAUUCGAAAACAUUGAAGGUACUUUUUUCCCAUUUGUGGAGAGUUUAAGCCUAACUGUACAACUUUUCCUAGUUUUUUACUAAAGAUGUCAUUGUGCCCUCGCCCUGGACCGAUCAUGAUGGAAAACAGCCUUCCGAGCUUCAUCCCAGUAAAUGCCUAACUAGCAAUGGUGACUCUCCUGUUGGGAAAAAGCCGAGUCUCCCUUCUCAGAAAUGCAAUGCUGCCUGCCAGACUCUGUUGUCUCUUCCUGUGGAUUUUAAUUUGGAAGCCGUAUUAGGAGACUACUUUAGAGCGGAUGACUCUGUGGACCAAUCUCCCGGGAACCUCAGUUCUUCGUCUCUCAGGAGAAAGCUCUUUUUAGACGUGAAUGGGAGCAUCUCCGACUCCUUACCUUCAGCUUCUCCCAGAAGUCCUCCCAACAGUGCCCGAGGAUCUCUUGAGGGACAGUUUUCUUCCAGCCCCAUUCAGAACAAUGCAAAAAAGUACAGUUUGGGAAGCUUAACCACCAGCCCAU
rnacentral:lncRNA from 1 species